UUUCUCCCCUAAUAUAUCAACGAUUGAAAUCUUUUUAAGAUAAUCUAACCUUUUAUUUAGUCGAAUAAAAAUUUCAAUUUUCUCUUUAAGCUAAAUUUGGUUGAAACUGCUUUUUUAGGUCGCUUGGAUAAUUGCUUCCUUUUCUCUUUCGCUUUAAACGACUUUGAAUCUAGAUGAAAAAUGGUUUACAACUUUACAUUUGUGAUGAUUACAUCGUAAAUAUUUACAUUGUGCCUAUACCCAAUUUUUUUUCUUCGUUUCUUUAGCCACAAGCGUUAGUUGAAAGUAUUGUUUACACAGGAAGGGUUGAAUCAGAAACAUUGUAUGUAUGAUAGCGUUAUAUUAGUAGACAACACUUGUAGGCAAACCUAUCCCGAAAAAUUUUAUUUUUAAAUAUAUACAUAUGCUAAUUUCCAACAAUAAGCAGUCUACUUUCUUUUCCGACGAUGUUUUUUUCUUUCACCAACAUCACCUAUUAUGUUUACAGGUAAAGUAGGUUCAUCCGUUGUAUGGUUUUUUGAUGAUCUCUUUUUGAUGCUUAAAGGGUUAGGCCCUUUAGGACCCUUGCGUUUUUUAUUGGCUUUUGGAGCAGAAUCCUCUGUUCCCGCUAAAUCCGUACUUUCCUUGGUAUCUUGAUCAUCGAUAGCCAGUUCAUUCGCUGAACGCUUUUUUCCGGAUAAUAACAACUUUUCCUCUUUUGACAUGCCCAUCUGAACGGAUUCUUUGUUGUGCUUUUCUAAUAACGUAGCUCGUGAAGCUGGUUCUAGUAUCACAACUGACCUUUUCAUAUAUAUAAGUGGAACACCUGGGACCGAACGAAGAGCUUGCCUAAGCUCGGGGUCUUGGGUAGCAACAACAUAGCGGUGCUUGUUCCGACCAUUAAUGUUGACUACACUCUGAAUACAUUCUGAAGGAGAGAGUGCUUCAUCAAUAUGACCACACCUCCUUCGCUCAAAAGACUUUGCGAUACGAAUUUCUUGCUUCAAUUCAUCGGAUUUACUGUACAAUUGCCGAAUACAACAUUGAGUAAUCACUAUAGUCAGUUAGUAAAUCCGUUAGUUAUAAUAAUUUACAAGGAGAACAUAAGGAAAGAAAAUAAUAAACCAGACCCGGAUGAAAAGAUACUAUGUUGAAUAAUUAAACUUUCCGUUCUGUUUCAUAUUCCGGGGGUUCGCCCUUUUUUCCAGUAAAAGAAAACACUUAUAAACAAAACUUACUAGGUUUUAUAGCUCCUUGAACAGUCCUAGCUAAUGCAGCUUGUAUAUCAAUCUUUUGUUGAGAUAAAUCUUUUAGGAAAUCUGCAUCCACUAAAAAUCAUGUUAGUUUAAUAACAUCACCAAAAAGAAAAUGCUUAUUGUUUGCAAAUUAGAACUUGGGUAAGGAUGCAUCUUUACAAGCAUCAUUUUCUGUACCACAUACCGAGUACUUGAUAUGGUUCACGAAAUCCAAAUAAAAGCUGAUACGUAUGCAUCAGCUUUCUGUAAUUCUUUGCCCUUUUUUGCCUCAUAUUUACGCCCUUUUCUGUGCGUCACACAGCCUAAGACUUAAUAUGCU
rnacentral:lncRNA from 1 species